ensembl:miRNA gga-mir-6579-2 gga-mir-6579-2
GCCGUGAGGAGAGGUGAGCGCCGUGCAACGCCGUGCAACGCACCUGCGCGGAACCAGAGGCAUUUCACAGCGUAACACGGCGUGCCUGUUUACACUGCGUUCCUCAGCGCCUCA